GGCACUUUGAACAUAUUAGUUAGGGUGAAUAAAGGACCUCUUGCCAAUCCAAUUUGGAAUGUGACUGGAUUCACGGGUAGAGAUUGGCUUCGGGCCGAGCUAGCAGUGAGCACCUUUUGGCCCAAUGAAUAUCAGGUAAUAUUUGAAGCUGAAGUCUCAGGAGGGAGGAAUGGUUAUAUUGCCAUUGAUGACAUCCAAGUACUGAGUUAUCCUUGUGAUAAAUCUCCUCAUUUCCUCCGUCUAGGCGAUGUAGAGGUGAAUGCAGGGCAAAACGCUACAUUUCAGUGCAUUGCCACAGGGAGAGAUGCUGUGCAUAACAAGUUAUGGCUCCAGAUUUUCAGACUGUGAUUGACAGAAGGUAACUGCAACUGCCCAAAGUGUGACCUUGGAUAAGGAAGGAUUUCUGUAUUCCUGAGGAACUUUCAAUGAUACAGAAUUUGUGAUUCAUAACUUGAAGCUAUGAUAAAGCUCUAUUUAUGGGAAAUAAGAUCAAAAGUGAAAUUAUAACAUAUAAUUUAUACUGAAAUGAAAUAAUAAAAGCAUUUGGUUAUAUUCUU
rnacentral:sRNA from 1 species